UACAUCUCCUUUUGUCUUCUUCUUCUCCUUCUUAUUAUUAUUUUUAUUAAUUUUCCUUUUUUUCUUUCACCGUGGUGAUUUCAUCCGUAUCAUCGUCGGAAUCUUUUUCAGUGGUGAAGAAGAUCUUGGGUUUGUUGGAUUCGGGAUCAAGGAUUAGAGUGGAUCUUUCACGAUCCAUCAUUUAGAACGAGGUGAGGGAACUCGACAGAACUCCUCUUUCUUCUAUUUGCUUAGACAUGAUGAUAGGGAACGUAGAUAUCAUGCGGUUAGGACUUUAGGAUAGACGCCUUAAAUUUCUUGCGGAUUCAUGAUGUAUGUUGAUUGAUGAUUGAUGAUUGAUGAAUGAUGAUUAAUGAUCGAUAAUCGAUGAUUGAUGAAUAAUGCAUGAUGAUUUAUAUUUGAUAAAUUCUUGUUGAGUGAUUAUGGCUUAUGACGUACAUGUUAUGUGAUGACGUUUCUUAAUAUAUCAUUAGACCGUUAGAAUGAGUUGAACUUUUGAUAUUAAAUAAACUUUGGCAUGAUGUUUGGAAAGAUGAGAGAAGUAGAGAAUUGAGUUAGGGACUAGGAUGUAACCUCUGACUGUGCUAAAAAUAUUUUAAAACUGAGUUUUGAGACCAUGGUACGGCGACGAUCCGUAUGUGAUGGUAUGAUAACAACCCGGGCAUGGCAGCGAUCCGUGUGGAGUGAUAACCCCGACUACGGCGGCGAUCCGUAGAGAGUUAUUGCUAUUGGUUGAGUUUUGAGGUCAUGGUACGGCGGUGAUCCGUAUGUGAUGGCAUAACGACCCGGGCAUGGCAGCGAUCCAUGUGGAGUGAUAACCCCGACUACAGCGGCGAUCCGUAGAGGGUUAUUACUAUUGGUCGUGUUUUGAUAACCUGACUACGGCGGCGAUCCGUAGAGGGUUAUAACGAUAUCUUUGGUUUUGUUUUAUAAAAAGAGUUUUAAACUAAGUCUGAGGGGUAUUGAAUAGUCCUAGAGUCUGGACUCGUUUUAAAGAAUCGAAUAAAGAAAAGUCAGUAGAAGAACGUGAAUUAAUAGAUUGAGUUUUGCUUGAGUUGAAUGUUGAUUGAAUUUGUUUUCUAUUUGAUUGUCUAUGUUCGGUACGGAGGCGAGGUUUAUAAUCUUGCAACUUCACUGAACUAUUCGCGUGCUCGCCCCUUCCUUUUUUCCACAAGUGAAAGGUGAAGCAGAUCAAGUGGUAGGACUUGGUAAUUGCAAGAGACACGAUGCUUUAGAUUUUUAUUUUUAUGAGUUCAAUAUUUUUAGACUUAUGUUAGAAUUUCAUUAUUGAGACUUCCGCUGUAGAUUUUGAGAUGAUAGUAUGGUAUUAAGAAUAAACCGAAUCUUUCUUUUUUAAAAACCUAAGUGACGAUUCAACGGGUCAAAAUACCGGAUUUUGGGUCGUUACAGGUCUCAUCUCUCUCAGUCUCUGUCACGGCUUCUCCAUCUCCUCAGAUUCGUUCUCAAUCUUUGUAUCGGAUCUGUUGAUUGGUCCGUCUCUUUCAGUCUCUGUCAUGUAUUCUCCGAUUUGUAUUCCUGAAUCUCAUCGGUGGUCUCAUCUCUCUCAAUCUUUGUAUCGAAUCUUUGUGUUCCUGAGUCUUGCUCGUCAUCUCACUCUCAGAUUUGUGUUGUUGUCUUUUGGUAUGAUAUGUUUGAAGUAAUGUUCGUUUGGUUAAUGUGAAGUUGCAGUUUUUUUUAAACAGAAUUGUGGUAAUGAAAUUUGAAAUUUUUGUA